UUGACCUCGGAUCAGGUAGGGAUACCCGCUGAACUUAAGCAUAUCAAUAAGCGGAGGAAAAGAAACCAACAGGGAUUGCCUCAGUAACGGCGAGUGAAGCGGCAAGAGCUCAAAUUUGAAAGCUGGCCCCCUCGGGGUCCGCAUUGUAAUUUGCAGAGGAUGCUUCGGGAGUGGCCCCCAUCUAAGUGCUCUGGAACGGGCCGUCAUAGAGGGUGAGAAUCCCGUAUGGGAUGGGGUGUCCGCGACCAUGUGAAGCUCCUUCGACGAGUCGAGUUGUUUGGGAAUGCAGCUCUAAAUGGGUGGUAAAUUUCAUCUAAAGCUAAAUAUUGGCCGGAGACCGAUAGCGCACAAGUAGAGUGAUCGAAAGAUGAAAAGCACUUUGAAAAGAGAGUUAAAAAGCACGUGAAAUUGUUGAAAGGGAAGCGCUUGCGACCAGACUCGCCUACGGGGUUCAGCCGGUAUUCGUACCGGUGUACUUCCCCGUGGGCGGGCCAGCGUCGGUUUGGGCGGCCGGUCAAAGGCCCUCGGAAUGUAACGCCUCUCGGGGCGUCUUAUAGCCGAGGGUGCCAUGCGGCCAGCCCGGACCGAGGAACGCGCUUCGGCACGGACGCUGGCAUAAUGGUCGUAAGCGAC
rnacentral:rRNA from 1 species